AUGGAAAGCUUGGCUCAUGAACAAAGCCGAAAGGCUCGCACUAGUCAAGUCGGUGCUGAGUGCUAUCCCAGUCCACCAGCUGCUCGCCUUUGCCCCGCCCAAGAAGACACUAAAGCAGCUAGAGAAAAUCCAGCGGGGUUUUUUGUGGGCCGGCCGCGCCAUCGCCAACAGAGGAAACUGUCAUGUCAAUUGGCGCCGCGCCUGCCGCCCUGUGGAAUAUGGUGGCCUUGGGAUCCGAGACCUGGAGCGCACAGGCCUUGCACUACGGCUGCGAUGGAUGUGGCUCGCCCGCACGGACACUGA
rnacentral:rRNA from 1 species